rnacentral:rRNA from 1 species
CAAUAGCGUAUAUUAAAGUUGUUGCGGUAAAAAAGCUCGUAGUUGGAUUUCUACCGAAGAUAGCCGGUCGGGUCUUCGACCUUGUAUCUGGUUUUGUCUUUGGUAUCCUCAUAGGGAACGUUUCUGCGCUUUAUUGCGUGGUGCGGUAUCUAUGACUUUUACUUUGAGGAAAUUAGAGUGUUCACGGCAGGCAAACGCCUUGAAUAUAUUAGCAUGGAAUAAUAACAUAGGAUCUUCGUCCUAUUUUGUUGGUUUCUAGGGCUAAGAUAAUGAUUAAUAGGGAUAAUUGGGGGCAUCUGUAUCAACGCGUCAGAGGUGGAAUUCUUGGAUUGCGUUGCGACAAACUACUGCGAAAGCAUUUGCAAAGGAUGUUUUCAUUGA